CUCUCGUUAUAUAUAUAAUUUUAUUUAUAAGUAUAUAUUUAUUUAUUAUAUAUAGUAUUUUAUUUUUAUAUAAAAAUAUUAUUAUAUAAUAUUUUAUUUAUAAAUUUAUAAUUAUUUAUUAAUAUUUCUAAUAUAUAACUCUUAUAUAUUAUUAAUAUAUGUUUAUUAUAAUUUUAAAUAUAUUAAUCUAUAUAUAAAA
rnacentral:lncRNA from 1 species